rnacentral:lncRNA from 1 species
GUCAAAUUGACGGUUUGAUUAACAGAUGUAUGAAAUUGCAAUAAAAUACAAGUUUGUGUUUGAGAUUAAAAUGUUUUAAAGAUGUUGUAUGAGAUUACAAUUGCACCUAAACCUGAGGGGGUAAUAUGUAACUUACCUUAAAAUUAUUGUAGAUAUUUUUGGGAUUGGAAUCAUAUUUUGACCGAGUGUUUUUCCAAAAAUCUAUUCUUACCACAUAUUGCAUCAUUAUUUGUAUUAUCUCUCUAAUAUAAAUGAGAACCACAUAUGUUGAUAUGGCCUACCUAUGUUAAGAGAUGGUACAAAUAAUAAUAUAAAUAUAUGAUAAGUGUAACAUUACUCAAAAUUUUCUCAAAUAAAUGUAGGAAAAAGUAAGAAACAAAAUCGUUCAUGUAACAUGUGGAGAUGUGCAUGUGUCCAAACUUAUGUUAUUCCACUCUACAUUUUAUUUAAGGAUAAUAUUUAGGUACUCACUAAUGAGUAUUUUAUGUACUUACAUACCGGUGAUUUUGUUGUUUGAAAUUAAUGAGGAGGUGUUGGGUUCAAAACAAGAUGUGUGUUUAUUUAAAUUCUAAUUUUUACAAAUUUCUUUUCGUAACAAUAUAAAUUUAUAAAAUUUGGCUAAAUGAUCAGAAGUUUAAUUAGAAGCAAUGAUUUUUGUAUUUAAAAUUAAUGGGAGGUCCUUAAUUCGAAAUGCUAUUUGCAUGUUUAAUUUUUUUUCUUUCAAUUUUUAUGAUUUUUUUUGGUUGUUAAUUUAUUUUUAAUUACUAGCUAGUAACUAUGUGGGUUGCUAUUUUUAAACAUUUGUUCAAAUUCAAGUCUAAUUUUCAACAAAUGGUAAUGGGUAGAUUAAAAUUUUAGACCAAAUUUGCAAAUCAUAUGACGUGCUAUCAAAAUGUUUAAUUUGGUGCCCAUUCAUUACUUAUACAUAUCCUUAAAGACUUGAAAAUAUCAUUAUUUUUUUAGUCUUAUACAGUAAAUAAGAAAAAACACCUCAUGAUUUAUACAAAAACACUUUAAAAGUUCAGAUGGAAGCCAAACUCAUAAUCUAUCUACUUGUCAGCCUGAAGUUUUUUGGUUUCCUUCUCUUGAUAUCAAAUAAAUUAGUUUUUCUGUGUUUCUAAAUUACAAAGUUUGAAGUGUUUUUCUAAAUAUAAUUUUAUCGAUGUCUUACGUGUAAAAACAAACAAUUUUUUUUAUAUGAAGUGAGGACAUACUUUUUGGCGUCGUCACAGGCCUUAAAAAUCUCUGAACCGACCUUAUGUGUCAGGAUG